rnacentral:rRNA from 1 species
CCAGAGAACUUUCCAGAGAUAGAUUGGUGCCUUUCGGGAACUCUGAGACAGGUGCUGCAUGGCUGUCGUCAGCUCGUGUUGUGAAAUGUUGGGUUAAGUCCCGCAACGAGCGCAACCCUUUAUCCUUUGUUGCCAGCGGUUAGGCCGGGAACUCAAAGGAGACUGCCAGUGAUAAACUGGAGGAAGGUGGGAUGACGUCAAGUCAUCAUGGCCCUUACGAGUAGGGCUACACACGUGCUACAAUGGCGCAUACAAAGAGAAGCGACCUCGCGAGAGCAAGCGGACCUCAUAAAGUGCGUCGUAGUCCGGAUUGGAGUCUGCAACUCGACUCCAUGAAGUCGGAAUCGCUAGUAAUCGUGGAUCAGAAUGCCACGGUGAAUACGUUCCCGGGCCUUGUACACACCGCCCGUCACACCAUGGGAGUGGGUUGCAAAAGAAGUAGGUAGCUUAACCUUCGGGAGGGCGCUUACCACUUUGUGAUUCAUGACUGGGGUGAAGUCGUAACAAGGUAAGCGUAGUGCU